GGGCUGGUAGCUCAGACUGGGAGAGCGCUCGGCUGAAGACCGAGUUGUCGUCGGUUCAAAUCCGACCCAGCCCA
rnacentral:tRNA from 1 species